rnacentral:rRNA from 1 species
AGAGUUUGAUCCUGGCUCAGGAUGAACGCUGGCGGCGUGCUUAACACAUGCAAGUCGAACGGUGAAGCUCCAGCUUGCUGGAGUGGAUCAGUGGCGAACGGGUGAGUAACACGUGAGCAACCUGCCCCUGACUCUGGGAUAACAGCCGGAAACGGCUGCUAAUACCGGAUAUGCACCAUGAACGCAUGUUCUGUGGUGGGAAAGAUUUUUCGGUUGGGGAUGGGCUCGCGGCCUAUCAGCUUGUUGGUGAGGUAAUGGCUCACCAAGGCGUCGACGGGUAGCCGGCCUGAGAGGGUGACCGGCCACACUGGGACUGAGACACGGCCCAGACUCCUACGGGAGGCAGCAGUGGGGAAUAUUGCACAAUGGGCGAAAGCCUGAUGCAGCAACGCCGCGUGAGGGAUGACGGCCUUCGGGUUGUAAACCUCUUUUAGCAGGGAAGAAGCGAGAGUGACGGUACCUGCAGAAAAAGCGCCGGCUAACUACGUGCCAGCAGCCGCGGUAAUACGUAGGGCGCAAGCGUUAUCCGGAAUUAUUGGGCGUAAAGAGCUCGUAGGCGGUUUGUCGCGUCUGCUGUGAAAACUGGAGGCUCAACCUCCAGCCUGCAGUGGGUACGGGCAGACUAGAGUGCGGUAGGGGAGAUUGGAAUUCCUGGUGUAGCGGUGGAAUGCGCAGAUAUCAGGAGGAACACCGAUGGCGAAGGCAGAUCUCUGGGCCGUAACUGACGCUGAGGAGCGAAAGGGUGGGGAGCGAACAGGCUUAGAUACCCUGGUAGUCCACCCCGUAAACGUUGGGAACUAGUUGUGGGGGCCUUUCCACGGUCUCCGUGACGCAGCUAACGCAUUAAGUUCCCCGCCUGGGGAGUACGGCCGCAAGGCUAAAACUCAAAGGAAUUGACGGGGACCCGCACAAGCGGCGGAGCAUGCGGAUUAAUUCGAUGCAACGCGAAGAACCUUA